rnacentral:rRNA from 1 species
AGGCAGCAGUGGGGAAUAUUGCACAAUGGGCGCAAGCCUGAUGCAGCAACGCCGCGUGGGGGAUGAAGGCCUUCGGGUUGUAAACCCCUUUUAGCAGGGAAGAAGCGAAAGUGACGGUACCUGCAGAAAAAGCGCCGGCUAACUACGUGCCAGCAGCCGCGGUAAUACGUAGGGCGCAAGCGUUGUCCGGAAUUAUUGGGCGUAAAGAGCUCGUAGGCGGUUUGUCGCGUCUGCUGUGAAAGUCCGAGGCUCAACCUCGGAUCUGCAGUGGGUACGGGCAGACUAGAGUGUGGUAGGGGAGACUGGAAUUCCUGGUGUAGCGGUGGAAUGCGCAGAUAUCAGGAGGAACACCAAUGGCGAAGGCAGGUCUCUGGGCCACAACUGACGCUGAGGAGCGAAAGCGUGGGUAGCAAACAGGAUUAGAUACCCUGGUAG